GGAUAAGAAAACCUCACAGUGCCAUACAAUUUCUUGAAUUCAUCAAAUUCACUUCCAUCUACAAUGCGAGCUAUAAUAGAUCGGAUGUCUAACGACUGUUUGAGGUCUGUUGGUGCAAUAGAACGAAGUUCUUCUACAUCAUACAAUGGCUCUUUGUAAUCAGGUACGAGAUGAUCAUUUACACCCCCAGCCAUGUGCAAAUUCUUAAUUAUAUUCCUCCCUAUAGCAAGUGCAUGCAGUUCAUCUGCAAGAUAGAGACAACUUCAACAAUGCCACAAAUAGUUUCUGCAAAGCAACAGGCUUAAAACCAAGUGUAUCAACAAAAUGCCUAGAUAAAUAAGUUUGCUUCAUAAUUGCUGCUCUAAUGCAAAGAUAAAUGAAUUUUACCUUGAGCAAAGUAAUCUGAAACACCUGAAGUUCUACAAUGCACGGUUGCACCCCCCAAGUCUUCUGCAGAAAUCUCUUCUCCUGUAGCAGCCUACUAAAACAUCAAUUUAGAAAUAAAUUAAAGCUUUAAUUAAAUAUAAUUAAAUGAAUGGAACAAAUGAAAGUCAUAGUUCUAGAAGAUACUUAAAAAAUGAAGAUACAAGAUGCACAGUAAUAACUAUAAUGGGAUGAAGAGCAAAUCCAAAUAUUACAACAUGUAUAAUUUUCAAAUACGAGUAGAUCUCAACUAACCUUCACAAGUGGAGGUCCAGCAAGAAAUAUUGUUCCAUUUCCUCUGACCAUUACACUUUCGUCCGCCAUUGCAGGUAUGUAAGCCCCACCAGCUGUGCAAGAACCUAGUACCAGUGCAAUUUGGGGAAUGCCUUCAGCUGACAUCAGUGCUUGAUUGUAGAAAAUUCUACCAAAAUUUUCCUUGUCAGGAAACACCUCAGCUUGCUUUGGAAGGAAAGCACCCCCACUGUCCACGAGAUACAUGCAGGGCAGUCUGCAUUUAGCUGCAAUCUCUUGUGCCCUUAGAUGUUUCUUGACAGUGAUGGGAUAAUACGUUCCACCCUUCACAGUGGGGUCAUUUGCCACAAACAUACAUAGUUUUCCAUGCACAGGUCCAACUCCAGUAAUUAUUCCACCAGAUGGCAAAGGCUCUUCAUAUAAUUCAUGGCCAGCAAGCUGAGUUCAACAAAACAUCAAUUCAAGUGUAGUACAGUGUAAUACUGAGUCAAUAUUUUAGUAUCAUUUCAAAGUAAGAGUCAUUUUGUUCAAUUAAUUGAUAAACAAAACUUACAUUAAUCUAAACAACCCACCUCCACCUCCACCUCCACCUCCACCAUCAACAACGACAACAUCCAGUUAAGCCUUAUAACCAAUAAACUCAUGUCUCAGAAUUCUUUGCUGCAGUCAGGUUGAUUUAACUCUGAUUCAAGAAUCCAGUGAAAUUAAGCUCCCGUUUGGCCCCCAUUUUAGGAAAAUAAAAAUGGGUAAAAUAGUAUUAUUUUGAAAAAUGAGUGGUUGAAAAAGAAGGAAAAUUUUUUAAUUUACAUGUAAUAUUAUUUUAUGGAAGAUUGUAUAGUUGAAAAUAGGAAAGAGAAAAAUAAAAUGCAAUGGAAUGAAAAUUAAUGGGGGCCAAACGGGGUAUAAAUCUUUUAACCUCGUCAAACGAUCCUAAUUUUGGUUUGUUUCCCUCUUCUAAUGGAGGGACCACAUCAACUUCACGACAAGAGUUUCUUUAAAGAAUUAAGUUAUGGGGCUGUCUGGUAGAAAUUCUCUCAAAAUUAUUAUCGAAAAUCCUACCGUUGUAAAGGUUUGCUGCACAAACUUCAGCCGCAAUAAUUGACAACAAGUACUGGCAGCCAUCAUCUCAUUAUUUCAAUUGCCAAAAAUGCACUCAUUUAAUAAUAUUUAAUGCAUUUAUUGAGGGGCACUCUCGUUUUUUCGCCAAAUAAUUUAAUUGAAUGGUACGAAGGCAGUCAAAAAAUGCUGCUACAGUAGGGCCCCUUUUCCUGUAUAACGUUCGGAAUUAUAAUGAAAAUUUUGGGAUAAUCUCUACCAGACAGCCCCUAUAUGUACAUUGUUGUUUACAUUCUCUAUGACAUUCCAUCCUAUGUGUCAAAAUCUCCUGCUCCAAAGCUUCCUCCAAUGAUAACUGUAAUUUUGGGUACCUACACAGAAUGCAAUUGCAAGUAAAAAUGCAUAAUGAUAAUUAAAUUUGCAAGGUUUUCUUUAUCUUCUGAUGUGGGAAAGAGUGCACUUGAGACAUCUGAUUGAUGUAUAAUCAUGGACGUAGGCGCUCAUAACAUAAGAGAACAAAGAAGACUCAAAGUUGUAAUAAGCAAAUAACCUUUGCACAAGAAACUGCCAUAACCAUUUUAGCUCCAGAUUUUGCUAUACCACUGGCCUCAGAUUUUGAGCCAACCUGAAAUUUUGUCAAGCAAAAUAAAUAAAUUCACAUGCAUCAAUUUUAAUAUUUGAACGAAAAUAACCCCUAAACUGAACUCAAUCUGAAUGUGUAACUGUAAGAAGCUGACACCAAAUCAAGUAAUAGUGUUCCGAAUUUCUCCCGUAAAAGUGAGUUUUAAAGUUUAAUUCCUCGAAGUAGAAGAUACAAACUUUUCUGGUAAUUAUUGGGUAAAUUAUACGUGAAGAAAACUCAUACUCUCGUUCUCCAGCUUGAACUGCGCUUCCCAGAAACUAACAGAAUUAUUUAAACCAUUAUCCAAUCAUUUUUAAGUUAUGUCAAACUUGACCAGCAGGGUGUCUAGCUACCUGCUGAUUCUGAAACUAAUUCACACAGCUGUGGAAAAUAUGCAUCGAAUUACUGUGAGUUAGGAAGAAGAGUAAUACUGCAUACCAUAAAUCCCGUGAUGUUCUGGAGAAAGAUCAAGGGAAUGUUACGUUGAGUGCAUAAUUCGAUAAAGUGAGCUCCUUUUAAAGCAGAUUCAUUAAAUAAUAUACCAUUGUUUCCAAGAAUCCCAACAGGUUGCCCAAGAAUUCUUGCAAAACCUGUUACAAGUGUCUGUUCAUGACAAAAGAGAGGGAUAAAUAACAAAAACCAAACACCAAAAAACAUAUAUGACCAGAAGUCGAGUAGAAGGGAUAAGAAAACCUCACAGUGCCAUACAAUUUCUUGAAUUCAUCAAAUUCACUUCCAUCUACAAUGCGAGCUAUAAUAGAUCGGAUGUCUAACGACUGUUUGAGGUCUGUUGGUGCAAUAGAACGAAGUUCUUCUACAUCAUACAAUGGCUCUUUGUAAUCAGGUACGAGAUGAUCAUUUACACCCCCAGCCAUGUGCAAAUUCUUAAUUAUAUUCCUCCCUAUAGCAAGUGCAUGCAGUUCAUCUGCAAGAUAGAGACAACUUCAACAAUGCCACAAAUAGUUUCUGCAAAGCAACAGGCUUAAAACCAAGUGUAUCAACAAAAUGCCUAGAUAAAUAAGUUUGCUUCA
rnacentral:lncRNA from 1 species